CAAUAGAGUUGAUUGAACUGACUGAAGGGCACCAUGAGGAAAUCAAGGAAAAUAGGUUUAUUACUAAGGAAAGUCCUCAGGUCGGAAGGUCUUCAGGUCGGUAGGUCCUCAAGACGGAAAGUCAUUAGGACGGAAGGACCUCAGGUCGGUAGGUCCUCAAGACGGAAGGACCUCAGGUCGGAAGGUCUUCAGGUCGGUAGGUCCUCAAGACGGAAAGUCAUUAGGACGGAAGGACCUCAGGUCGGGAGGUCCUCAAGACGGAAAGACCUCAAGUCGGAAGGUUUUCAGGUCGGGAAGUCCUCAAGGCGGAAAGACCUUAAGUCGGAAGGUUUUCAGGUCGGGAGGUCCUCAAGACGGAAAGACCUCAAGUCGGAAGGUUUUCAGGUCGGGAAGUCCUCAAGACGGAAAGACCUCAAGUCGGAAGGUUUUCAGGUCGGGAAGUCCUCAAG